CAGGGGAUAAGCGGAAGAAAUUCCGUCUAAUACCGCGUAACAACGUUGGGAGGCAUCUCCCGAUGUUUAAAGAUUUAUCGGCUGCGGAUGGCCAUGCGGCGCAUUAGCUAGUCGGCGGGGUAACGGCCCACCGAGGCGACGAUGCGUAGGGGUUCUGAGAGGAAGGUCCCCCACACUGGUACUGAGGCACGGACCAGACUCCUACGGGAGGCAGCAGUGAGGAAUAUUGGUCAAUGGCCGAGAGGCUGAACCAGCCAAGUCGCGUGAGGGAUGACGGCCCUACGGGUUGUAAACCUCUUUUGUCGGGGAGCAAAGGGAGUCACGUGUGACUCAUUGAGAGUACCCGAAGAAAAAGCAUCGGCUAACUCCGUGCCAGCAGCCGCGGUAAUACGGAGGAUGCGAGCGUUAUCCGGAUUUAUUGGGUUUAGAGGGUGCGCAGGCGGAGGUGCAAGUCAGCGGUCAAAUUGCGGGGCUCAACCCCGUACUGCCGUUGAAACUGCAUCCCUUGAGUGCGCGAGAAGUAUGCGGAAUGCGUGGUGUAGCGAUGAAAUGCAUAGAUAUCACGCAGAACUCCGAUUGCGAAGGCAGCAUACCGGCGCGCAACUGACGCUCAUGCACGAAAGCGUGGGUAUCGAACAGGAUUAGAUACCCUGGUAGUCCACGCAGUAAACGAUGAACACUAACUGUUCGGCCAGAAUGAUGGCUGAGUGGUACAG
rnacentral:rRNA from 1 species